GUCUACGGCUAUGCUACCCUCAACAAGCCCAAUCCCGUCUGAUCUUGGAAGCUAAGCAGGGUCGAGCCUGGUUAGUACUUGAAUGGGAGACCACCUAGGAAGACCAGGUGCUGUAGGCA
rfam:Pteropus alecto contig25607, whole genome shotgun sequence.